rnacentral:lncRNA from 1 species
CAAAGUUUCUUUUGGUUUGAAAGAUCUAGGGACUUUCAUUACCAAAUAACGUCUCAUAAUACAGCAUGGACAAACACGAAUGCACAUGCACUUCUUGGCAACAACCAACAAACUUUUUAUUCUUACAUAACCAAUGAAGAAAGGAUUCCUAACACUCGAAACUUUGCGCUUUAUGUCCUCAGCCCAGCAGAAUUAGUUCAACAAUUAUCAAAAGAUGAUCACUCUUCUUUCCAGCAAGUCUCUCACCUGAAAAAACAAACUGAGCAAAAGUGAAAGACAUGUAAUCAUAGCAAAUGACUUCUUCGAGCGUUCUUUGAAGCAAUAUCAUCAAUUAUUGUAUCAAGAUUGAUAUUUUCCAAAUUAUUUUUCUCAAUGCAACACAUGGCCAGACCAUUCAAUCUUUCCUGGGACAUAUCCAGUCCCAAGCAUAUCAGAUCCUGCGAUGGUCCUUGGAUGAUUGGAUCCUCAAAUGAGCAGCCUAAAUAAGCGGCAUAGAAGAUCUAUCAGGGAAUCGCUAAAACACCAAAAAACUGUACAAAGGUGGAGCGGAAAACUACUCAGAAAUAACAAGAACCUUGUGAAUGGAGCUGUCAGGUUAGUGGCUUAGUGCAGGCAUUGGUUGCAGAGGUGUUGCAUCAGCCAUCAGGCUCUCCCGGAUUCUGCGUGGCGCCCUGGAACACGGUGAGUAGAAGGGCGUCUCCUGGUCUCCUUGAGCCGGUACUGAUUCCACAGCCUGGAGCAGUCAGGCCUGGGAGCAGUCUGAUGUCCCUGGUUGGAUGCCUCGAUGCAAAUACUUAUAGGAAAAAUGGGAAAUCCAUAGGGAAGUGAGAUGGAGAAGGAGAAGAAAUCUGCUUCAGCUACAACAGAAAUAUCCAUUAAUUUUCUAGCUUUGGGAGUAGGAGCGCUGGAGCGGGAUGGGGAACGAGAAGACAAAGGAAUAACUGAGUCUCGAGAGAAGAAACGGCAGCGGCGGCUGGAUCGAUCGCUGGCUCGCUGCCUCCUCACAUUCUCUCGUACGUAACCUAGUUAGCUUAUGGGCAAUUAUGGGCUUUUACUGUUGGGCUUAAGGUUACAUACAUAGUGUAU